UUGGGGAAUAUUGGACAAUGGGCGAAAGCCUGAUCCAGCAAUGCCGCGUGAGUGAUGAAGGCCUUAGGGUUGUAAACUGCUUUUGUACGGAACGAAAAGGUUUCUAUUAAUACUAGGAGCUCAUGACGGUACCGUAAGAAUAAGCACCGGCUAACUACGUG
rnacentral:rRNA from 1 species